rnacentral:rRNA from 1 species
GUAGGUGGCAAGCGUUGUCCGGAAUUAUUGGGCGUAAAGCGCGCGCAGGCGGUUCUUUAAGUCUGAUGUGAAAGCCCACGGCUCAACCGUGGAGGGUCAUUGGAAACUGGAGAACUUGAGUACAGAAGAGGAAAGCGGAAUUCCACGUGUAGCGGUGAAAUGCGUAGAGAUGUGGAGGAACACCAGUGGCGAAGGCGGCUUUCUGGUCUGUAACUGACGCUGAGGCGCGAAAGCGUGGGGAGCAAACAGGAUUAGAUACCCUGGUAGUCCACGCCGUAAACGAUGAGUGCUAAGUGUUAGGGGGGUUUUCCGCCCCCCUUAGUGCUGCAGCUAACGCAUUAAGCACUCCGCCGUGGGAGUACGGCCGCAAGGCUG